GGCGAACGGGUGAGUAACGCGUUGGUGACCUGCCCCGAAGAGGGGGACAACAGUUCGAAAGGACUGCUAAUACCCCAUGUGCUCGUUUAGAUUAGAAGCUUUAUGAGUAAAGGAGUAAUCCACUUCGGGAGGGGCCUGCGUCCCAUCAGCUAGUUGGUAGGGUAAUGGCCUGCCAAGGCAAUGACGGGUAGGGGACCUGAGAGGGUGACCCCCCACAGUGGAACUGAAACACGGUCCAU
rnacentral:rRNA from 1 species